rnacentral:rRNA from 1 species
AUUGAACGCUGGCGGCAUGCCUUACACAUGCAAGUCGAACGGCAGCACGGGGCAACCUGGUGGCGAGUGGCGAACGGGUGAGUAAUGCAUCGGAACGUACCUUCCAGUGGGGGAUAACGUAGCGAAAGUUACGCUAAUAUCGCAUAUUCUGUGAGCAGGAAAGCAGGGGAUCGCAAGACCUUGCGCUGAUUGAGCGGCCGAUGUCAGAUUAGCUAGUUGGUGAGGUAAAGGCUCACCAAGGCGACGAUCUGUAGCGGGUCUGAGAGGAUGAUCCGCCACAGUGGAACUGAGACACGGUCCAGACUCCUACGGGAGGCAGCAGUGGGGAAUUUUGGACAAUGGGGGCAACCCUGAUCCAGCCAUGCCGCGUGAGUGAAGAAGGCCUUCGGGUUGUAAAGCUCUUUCGGCCGGGAAGAAAUCGCACGGGCUAAUACCCUGUGUGGAUGACGGUACCGGAAUAAGAAGCACCGGCUAACUACGUGCCAGCCGCCGCGGUAA